UUUUUGUUUGCUUUUGGGGUUUCUCUGUUUUUUUUUUGUUUUUGUGUUUUGCGGGUUCUU
rnacentral:ribozyme from 11 species